CGGGACGGGUGGAGUAAUGUCGUAGGGAAACGUCGCCUGAGGGAGGGGAGUAACUACUGGAAACGGUAGCUAAUACCGCAUACGUCGCAAGACCAAAGAGGGGGACCUUCGGGCCUCUUGCCAUCGGAUGUGCCCAGAUGGGAUUAGCUAGUAGGUGGGGUAACGGCUCACCUAGGCGACGAUCCCUAGCUGGUCUGAGAGGAUGGCCAGCCACACUGGAACUGAGACACGGUCCAG
rnacentral:rRNA from 1 species